rnacentral:rRNA from 1 species
GACGAACGCUGGCGGCGUGCUUAACACAUGCAAGUCGAACGGAAAGGCCCUGCUUUUGUGGGGUGCUCGAGUGGCGAACGGGUGAGUAACACGUGAGUAACCUGCCCUUGACUUUGGGAUAACUUCAGGAAACUGGGGCUAAUACCGGAUAGGAGCUCCUGCUGCAUGGUGGGGGUUGGAAAGUUUCGGCGGUUGGGGAUGGACUCGCGGCUUAUCAGCUUGUUGGUGGGGUAGUGGCUUACCAAGGCUUUGACGGGUAGCCGGCCUGAGAGGGUGACCGGCCACAAUGGGACUGAGAUACGGCCCAGACUCCUACGGGAGGCAGCAGUGGGGAAUAUUGCACAAUGGGCGGAAGCCUGAUGCAGCAACGUCGCGUGCGGGAUGACGGCCUUCGGGUUGUAAACCGCUUUCGCCUGUGACGAAGCGUGAGUGACGGUAAUGGGUAAAGAAGCACCGGCUAACUACGUG